rnacentral:rRNA from 1 species
GGUCGAGAGGCCUUGCGCCGAAGAUGUCCGGGGCUCAAGUACAGAACCGAAGUCGUGGCAGGAUGAAUAAUUCUGGGUAGGGGAGCGUUGUGUAUUCGACUGAAGGUGUACCGUAAGGAGCGCUGGAGGAUACACAAGAGAGAAUGCCGGUAUGAGUAGCGAAAAGAACAGUGAGAAUCUGUUCCACCGAAAGCCUAAGGUUUCCUGAGCAACGCUCGUCGACUCAGGGU